GGGGCAUAUGAUGAGAAUCUGCAUCCAAUCUCACAACGGUCGUCUGAGACACUUAGUGUGUCAUGUUGCAACCAUACUUUCUCUGAUGUCU
rfam:Brachypodium distachyon strain Bd21 chromosome 1, whole genome shotgun sequence.